rnacentral:rRNA from 1 species
AUUGAACGCUGGCGGCAGGCCUAACACAUGCCAGUCGAACUAGUGGCGGACGUGUGAGUAAUGUCUGGUAAACUGCCUGGUGGAGGGGGAUAACUACUGGAAACGGUAGCUAAUACCGCAUACCAUCAGAUGUGCCCAGAUGGUAUUAGCGUGUGGGUUGGGUAACAGCUCACCAAGGCGACGAUCCCUAGCUGGUCUGAUAGGAUGACCAGCAACACUGGAACUGAGACCUGGUACAGACUCCUACGGGAGGCAGCAGUGGAGAAUAUUGCACAAUGGGCGCAAGCCUGAUGCAGUCAUGCCGCGUGUAUGAAGAAGGCCUUCGGGUUGUAAAGUACUUUCAGUGGGAAGGCGUUACCCGCAGAAGAAGCACCGGCUAACUCCGUGCCAGCAGCCGCGGUAAUAC